rnacentral:rRNA from 1 species
AUUGAAUGCUGGCGGCAUGCCUUACACAUGCAAGUCGAACGGCAGCACGGGAGCAAUCCUGGUGGCGAGUGGCGAACGGGUGAGUAAUAUAUCGGAACGUGCCCAGUCGUGGGGGAUAACGCAGCGAAAGCUGUGCUAAUACCGCAUACGAUCUACGGAUGAAAGCGGGGGAUCGCAAGACCUCGCGCGAUUGGAGCGGCCGAUAUCAGAUUAGCUAGUUGGUGAGGUAAAGGCUCACCAAGGCGACGAUCUGUAGCUGGUCUGAGAGGACGACCAGCCACACUGGAACUGAGACACGGUCCAGACUCCUACGGGAGGCAGCAGUGGGGAAUUUUGGACAAUGGGCGAAAGCCUGAUCCAGCAAUGCCGCGUGCAGGAUGAAGGCCUUCGGGUUGUAAACUGCUUUUGUACGGAACGAAACGGUGAGCUCUAAUGCAGGGGGCUCAUGACGGUACCGUAAGAAUAAGCACCGGCUAACUACGUGCCAGCCGCCGCAGUAA